rnacentral:rRNA from 1 species
AUUGAACGCUGGCGGCAGGCUUAACACAUGCAAGUCGAGCGGGGUGAUGGUGCUUGCACUAUCACUUAGCGGCGGACGGGUGAGUAAUGCUUAGGAAUCUGCCUAUUAGUGGGGGACAACAUCUCGAAAGGGAUGCUAAUACCGCAUACGUCCCACGGGAGAAAGCAGGGGAUCACUUGUGACCUUGCGCUAAUAGAUGAGCCUAAGUCGGAUUAGCUAGUUGGUGGGGUAAAGGCCUACCAAGGCGACGAUCUGUAGCGGGUCUGAGAGGAUGAUCCGCCACACUGGGACUGAGACACGGCCCAGACUCCUACGGGAGGCAGCAGUGGGGAAUAUCGGACAAUGGGGGGAACCCUGAUCCAGCCAUGCCGCGUGUGUGAAGAAGGCCUUAUGGUUGUAAAGCACUUUAAGCGAGGAGGAGGCUCUUUUGGUUAAUACCCAAGAUGAGUGGACGUUACUCGCAGAAUAAGCACCAGCUAACUCUGUGCCAGCAGCCGCGGUAA